rnacentral:rRNA from 1 species
UAGGGAAUAUUGCACAAUGGGGGAAACCCUGAUGCAGCAACGCCACGUGUGGGAAGAAGCAUUUCGGUGUGUAAACCACUGUCGUGAGGGAAUAAGGCAUUGUUUCGGCGAUGUUGAAUGUACCUCGAAAGGAAGCACCGGCAAACUUCGUGCCAGCAGCCGCGGUAAUACGAGGGGUGCAAGCGUUGUUCGGAAUCACUGGGCGUAAAGGGAGCGUAGGCGGAGAUGCAAGCGGACUGUACAAUACCGGGGCCCAACCCCGGACCUGCAGUUCGGACUGCACCUCUUGGAUAGUUCAGGGGCAGGCGGAAUUCCUGGUGUAGCGGUGGAAUGCGUAGAGAUCAGGAAGAACACCGAUGGCGAAGGCAGCCUGCUGGGGACUUAUCGACGCUGAGGCUCGAAAGUGCGGGUAGCAAACAGG